rnacentral:sRNA from 1 species
CUUCAUCACACUCACAUAUAAAAGAAAGAAACCUUGAAAAUGAGAGGACCCCAAAUUACGUGAACUUUUGGAUGUGGGGAACAUCGGGCGCCUGGAGCAG